UACGUAGGGGGCUAGCGUUGUCCGGAAUCAUUGGGCGUAAAGAGCUUGUAGGUGGUUUGUCGCGUUGUUCGUGAAAUCUCACGGCUUAACUGUGAGCGUGCGGGCGAUACGGGCAGACUAGAGUACUGCAGGGGAGACUGGAAUCCUGGUGUAGCGGUGGAAUGCGCAGAUAUCAGGAGGGACACCGGUGGCGAAGGCGAGUUCCUGGACAGUUACUGACACUGAGGCACGAAGGCCAGGGGAGCAAACGGG
rnacentral:rRNA from 1 species